GAUUUGAUAUUGGUAAAUAAUCGUUAUUAUUUUAUUUCAGUAUUUCUAUUAAAUAUAAUUGUAAUCUUUAAAAUGGUAUGAAAUCAACUUCCUACAAGCGCAACCACUUCUUUAGUGUCAAAUUCCAAUUUCCCGGAAGUGCAACGUAACACCAAUAAGGAGAUUUCCUAACCUUCCUGUCAAAUGCAAGUCUAUUUUCUUUUCAAUAAAGAUAAAGAAAGAAAUAAAAAAGAGGAUGUAACAUCACCAAAGACGGUAUUGAAUGGUAGUGGGAGAAACGAGUCCGUUUCAAGCGAUUGUGAGAAGAAAGAAGAAAGGAAAGAAUGCGACCUAACGGACGACGAGUAUAAGCAUUAAGCUCAUUUUGAAAUUCAUCAUUACAAUUACCUUGUGACCACCUGUAGCUCGACGAGGGAAACCCUAAAAAGCACUAAAAAGAAAAAGCCCUAAAGAAGAAGAGAUUAAAGAAAAAAGGAGAGGGAGAAAGAAAGAAGUUAGAAGCAAUCUGAUUCAGAUUGAGUAGAACAGAUUAAUCUUAAAUAAAGAACGACGUAAAACUUUGCAUUCAAAACGGCACUGCUUUAAGCAUCUCACAAACACACUACACGAUGCAUCAACGUGAGUAUAUAUAUACUAUAUAUAUACAUAUAUAUAUAAAUAUAUAUAUAUAUAUACAUAUAUAUACACUGACGAAGAGGAGACGCGUACGUUUCUUUCCUAUAGUUGGCCAAACUUAAUUUUGCUUCACUUCUUUUUUAUUUUUCAACGACGCUCGACGUCACGGCCAAACGGCAAGCAAUCGAAAGGCAAGCUCGCCUCAUUGCGAAGAAUCUCGUAGGACGACGAACGUGGAACGAUCGAGAAAAGCCAUAUAGACGUACGAUGGAACGAAGAGAUACGCAGGUGUGUGUAACGGGAAAAAGAGACAGAGAGAAUAAGAAACGUCAGCGGAUCGCGCGAUUCACGACGGACUCAACCGAAUCGAACGACGACGGGACGAGCGUUGCUGCUCGCUGUUGAGCUGCUGUAUUGCUAUUCCCCUGCUUCUUGGCAGACCCGGCACUUGGGCCCAAAACCAGGGCCGUACGCAUAAUGGUGUUCGUGACGUUUUAUGUUAAGCGUUCCAAACUCCCGCCUCUUCUCCCCACCACUAUACUUUCUUAUCUUCCUUGCAUACUUUUAACGUCGAUGAGCAUUUACUUACACACGUAUUUACAACGGGUAUGCAACAACUACAGUUACGCGCUAAAUGUAGGAUGAUGCAUUUUAGGGAUUCGCCCGAAAAUUGAUCUUUUAUUUUUCAAAACAAUUCUUCGCGUUACUUCUCUUUCUACUUUGAAGAAACGAAAUAUUACGGAUUUAUUAUUUUUAAUUAUCGUCAUAUUUAUCGUCAUUAAUUAUCGUCAUUAAUUAUCGUCAUAUGAACUUUUAAUCAAAUUUAUAAUAUAUGUAUGUUAAAACGAUGUCAUUAUUUAUGUUAAUUUUACAGGAAUUUUGUGGAAUCGGUUCAUUCGAUAUUCAGAAAUCGAAUGAAGUAACUAAUUUCAAUGUGUGAUUGUAAUUCAUAUUACAAUCACACAUUGAAAAUCGAUUAUAAAUGUUGUUGCUUAUUACGAAAUCAAUUAGCAAAAUGACGAAAUCAUCUUUGAAAUGAUUAUUACGUAUUUACGUAUAUAUAUAUAUAUAUACACACACACACACACGAAGUUAUUUAACGUAUAUAAUAUUUGUAUUCAUUAACAUUAGAGUAAAAAGAUUCUUAAAUAGAAACGAAAAAUAUUUUGAAUAGUAUAAUAUCUUGCAUUUGCUUUAUAAAGGCGUUGUUUUUGUGCAACGUUCUACAGAUAAUAUAUAUAUUUAAUUUUACAUACAUAAAAUUAAUGUUAUAUAAAUGAAAAAUGCAAGUGAUUAAAAUCUUAUAGAUAUGAAUGAUUUAGUACGGUAAUGAACUCUCAUUUCAUUUCCUUCGUCUAUGUAUAUACAUAAAGAAGAGACAUACUUACGUAUGCACAUGCAAAAGACAUUUGAUAUGCGUAUUUCGAUACUUUAAGGUCGCCCGCAAAUAGAAACCCUCGUUCGUGAUGCGGAUCUUUCGAGAGAAAGAAAGAAAGAAAGAAAAAAAGAAAAAAAAAAAAAGGAAAAGAAAUGCAGUACUACGAGACAGACAUGGGUGAUCAAUUUCACGAGAUCGACAAAGAAUGGAAAGCAAACCGUUAUUUUGUAUAAGAAUGUAAAUCGUCGAAUUAGCAACGAGAUGCUUUUUCGCGACCUGAUAAUUAUUCGACGAGAAAUCGUAUGAGAAAUUCUUACGAUCACAUUCAAUCGAUGUAAAUAGGUGCUUACGAAUGAUCAGGUAGUUUGUUGCGGGAAUUUUAAAUUUACGAUUCGCUACGAUUGUUUAUUCGUUAUUUAUAACCUAGAAAAGUCAAUCUCGAUUUGGCAAAGGAAUUCUUGAUCGAUUUAUUUCUUCUUCGCGUAAGAACAAACCUAUAUAAUUCUUAUUAUUAUAAUAAUUACUGACUUUUUUCAAUUACUCUUCUAUCGAAGUGUCUAAAUACAAUAAACCACAAUCCAUUUCCAGAUAUAACAGAUUAUACAAAGAAUACAAUUCGUUGUUCCAAAAAUCUCGAAAAUAACUUUUACAAUUUGAUUGAUUUCUUUCCAAAGAAUUUUAAUUAUAACCUUAUGCGUGGUAUUUGUCAAUAAACAAUUUUCAAUUUGUAUUUCUCUAACGUAACAAUACAUUUAUUAAUAACUACUUCGUGUUAACGAGAAUCAAUUGAUCCACAAUUGAACUUGUUUACGUAAGAUUUAUUUCGUUUCAAGGAGUCAUAAUUCGAAUUACAAAAUCUAUAACGUAGCUAAUCGCGACAUCUAUGUAUCAAAAUGUUUAACUUUAAAGCACUAAUUACAAGUAGCAUUAAAUAGUGCUAAAUGGUGCUAAAUAUUACAAUUUUAACAAGUAUCUACGAAAUAAAAAAUGAUAAUUCGAUUGACGAAGGAAGAGAAUUUGUUUAUUUCAAUAAUUGUCAAAGCACUAUCUAACUGUAAGAUUGAAUCAGAAUAAUGACAGAAAGAAAUUACAACGAAGUAGAAUAAAGAAGAGAGUUAAAGAGAAAGAAAGAGAUCAGUGAUAAAUUCUUUGGUAUGGUAAUACACACAUUCCACAUAUCACAAGGCUUUAAGAAUUAUUCUAUAGGGUGUCGCGAGAAAAAAGAUGUAGGUAUUUCUUCCUCAAUAAAUAAUAACUGCCCCAUUCAUGUUCGCUCUAGCGUAAAGACACUAAAUAAAAAAAGGGAAAAGAAAGAAAUAAACGUGUACUUUAAUUAUAUGAAGUAUAAUGAUCUAUGUCAUUAGCACCAUUAAAACGAAAGAAGAUUUAUGCGAUUAAGUAACGCUCUGUUUGUAAUCAUUAGUAUCUAAGAAAACUUUUUAUUGACAUGCAUUUCGUAUAUCUGAUAGAUUUAAGCAAGGCAUUUCAAUUUCACAUUCCUACUUCAUUACCAGAGAAAGAAAAAAAGAGAGAGGAGGGAGAAAGAAAGAAAGAAAGAGAGAGAGAGAGAGAGAGAGAGAGAGAGAAGAAAGAAAGAGAGAAGAAAGAAAGAGAAAGAGAGAGAAGAAACAGAAAGAGAGAGAGGGGCGGGGGGAGAGAGAGAAAGGGAAAGAGAGGGAGAGAAAGAGAGAGAAUAUGGUAUCUAAUCUUUAACAUCAAGCUGAUGUUUCCAAGGCGUUACAAAAUGUUAUGACGUAUUAAUAUAUCGAAGUCAUGUAGAUAUACGUAGGUAGAAGUUGAAUCCCUUCGUACGCAACCAAAUACGCCUAUACACUGGCAGUACUUUCAUAGUUCAACACACCUACGCUUUAUAGAUACAUAAUUUGGAUUAUUUUCAAACAUUUCUCAAGACUUCAAUAAACUAUUAUGAGAUACCGAUCAUCUCAGCAAGUAUAAUGGAUAAUUGAAAUAUUUCAAACGAAUCCAAUAAAAAGUUCUCUCAUCUAUGUGAAGUUCAACGUCAAAACGUAGCCCUAACAUAGAAGACAUCUACGUAGCGUAACGAAUCACGUACACGUGGUCACCACUGUGGAGAAUGCAUUUCUUUAUAUGGCAUCUAUAUAAUAUUCUUCACAAUCUAUCUAGUGGCAUAACGCAUAUACUUUAGCGUUCUAUUCAUGGUCACCGAUUUUACCGUUAAAACGCGACAUUUCCGUUCAUUGCUAGAUAUAAAUAUGAGUUUCCUUUUAUAGAUAUGAUAGAUCUUGAAAAGGAACAAUUUUAACGUACUCCAUCUUUGAGAAGAAGCUAACUCGAUCAACCUUUCCUGAGUAGGCACGUAUUUGUACGCCUAUUAUGUGAUCAAGGUGCAUAAUGCGGUGUCUUAAAUAGCGUGGGAGAUAUAGGAUCAUAAUAAUCGUCCAGGAAACCCAUGGCUGAAGAUAUUGUCUUAUACAAAAAGGAAAUGACGUAUAUGAAAUAAAAAAAGAGAAAAAAAAGAAAAAGACAAAAAUACUAAGUAAAGAAAACGAUGAACGUAUCGUGUAUUUGGGUCAGUAGCACAACACUUGAAUGCGUGAAAUCGUAAGUCAAUGACCUGAUCGAUGACCUGUUGACUUAGAGAGGGUACAUUACUUGCGAACGAGAAAGAAUCUAAGCAAUGUUCACGGAAGUAAACGCGUAUAUACACAUAUAUAUAUGUAGUACGUAUAUACGAAUGGAAGCCGACUCCGCAAUAAAUAGACAGAAGGAACAUCUUUAUCUCUCUCGAGAGUUGAUUCGUAAAUAAUGAUACACUUUAAAAUGGAUAAUAAAUCGUUACUAAUCGAAUUUUUUUCUUCGACAAAUAUAGACAUUUGUUUCGGUCAUUGUAUAUUAUAGAGCUAUGCACAUCAAAAUCAUUAUUCUUGUGUCUGAAGAAUGAAGGCAACGGUAUAAAGACAGAGUGAAAGUUUCUCGUGAUAAUAGAAAUGGCAAUUUUUAAUAUUUAUAAACUAUCGAGUUCCUAUUGAGUAUCGGCCUUCUUAAUAAGAUUUUUAGAUACCUUUCUAAGUAUAUAUAGUUUAAAUAAAUACAUUAUACGAAUACUUUUUAUAUCUCCAUUAUAGAUUCAUAUAUAAAUUAAUAAUCGUUAUUUUAUAGUAGAAUUUAUGCUUGAGAGAAUGCAAUCGUUAAAAUGAUAAUUCUUCAUUAUUAAGACAUCUUUAAUAUUGAUGAAUUUAUGGAAGAAUUUUAAUAAUAUGUAUAAAACUUAUAUUGCGUUUAAUCAAAUAAUACAUCAACGAUGCUGAUUUUUCCUACUUUUUAAUCUGUGACGGUACUGCCAAGUGCCAUGCAUUCCGUUGAAUUGCAUACAAGUAUGCAUGCAUGAACGAGGUACAUACAUAUGCAUGUAUACUCCAUAGUUAAAUGCAAAAUAAUUCGUUCAGCUCUCGAUUACGAACCUUUUUUUAAUGAAUAACGUCAUGAAAGAAAACGAAGACGAUUGACAAUGCUUCAUUAUUUUCUUUUUUUUUUCUUUUGUUAGACAAAAUUAAAAUGAUAGAAUGAAAACUUACCGGGAACGACUUCGCCAUUGAAUGUCAUUUCAACUAAAUGUGUAACAGCUUCAUGAGGUACGAAUGAUGCUAAGAAACGUUGACUACCUAGCGCUCUAACGAAACUUGUAACAUGGCCACCGUUUACCAAAAUUUCUAAAUUUCCAGAUCCAGCUCUCGAGCCAUCAACUACAACAAUAUUAUACAUCUAAGAUUGUAGUAAAUAUAAUUAGAGAUAGUUGAAUAAUAAUAAUACAUACUUUCAAAUUCAACUGGUUCGUUGACCACUCCAUUCGGUAUAUGACCAACUUGUAUAGCUCUUGCAUUGUAAGCUUGUGAUCUAAAAUUCAUAAGCGUAUACAAUUAAAAAAAUUAUAACGUGUACAAAAAUGUUUAUAUCUAAUCUUUACUGAGCUAAUGUAUCAACCUAAAUGGCGAUCCUUUGAUGUGUUGUCCAUUGAGCAAAAUUUGUAUGAUAUGUUCUCCGACUUCUUCAGCAGUUAUCGUAUACGUUAAGCCACGAAGAGUUGAUUUCUGAAUGGACAAUGACAUUUACCUGUAACAUUAACAGAAACUUUAUUGGGAUCUACACUCGGAUCAAUAGUGAAGGUUGUUGGUCUAUGAACAGGUAAUAUUUCGAUAGCGCUCCCAGUAACGAGUGAUGAAUUUUUUAUUUGCGUUGAUACAAUACCAUGAGUUUGCGUACGAUUACUUUGAGUUUCACUGGAUCUUGAGUAUUUGUCGUAUGCUCAGCUAUCGGAGAGUUAUUAGUGAGAUUUGCAAGGGAUUCUAGGCUACCAUAAGAAAGCAAAGAUUUUGUUUUGGCUAUGGCGUCCCACGAAUCACGACGAGAAGUACCACCCACCAUAGACGAUACUCUUACGUUACUACUUGUAUCGACAACACUAUUGUCCAUAAAACUUCUUCCAUUAUAACCGGUUUCUUUAUCACUUAUUCUUGGACUAAAACUUCUACUGACAGGACUUUGUGUAGCACUACGAAACAUAGGACUGCGAUUGGGCGAGCGAGAUCUAUUUAAGGAACCAGUUUGAUAAAUGUCUCUUGAUUCCUUGAUGGUCGGUGAAUGUUGUGAUCCUGGAGACGCUGGACUUAGAUUCGGUGAUCGAGAUCUAGUUAAAGUGCUGGAUGCAUAAAUGUCUUUUGAUUCCUUUAUUAAACUCGGAGUCUGAGUUCCUGGUGAUCUCGAACGAUUAUAUGUCGUUGAUGAAUAUGUUUCCUUUGUUUCUUUAAUCAUAGAAGGACUAUGAACGUUUCUAGAUACAGGACUUUGAUUAAGAUUCGGAGAACGUGAAUGAUUUAGAGAAUUUGUUUUAUGAUAUGUUGAACUUUCGCUGCUAUAAUUGUUUGAAGUUUUAUAUGUUGAAGAAUGCUGGUGUACGGGUGAAUAAUCGGUAACGUGUUGAGUCGGGCUAGCUGAUUUGUACGUGGUAGUGGAAUAAAUCUUUUGAACAGGACUGCCGCGAGUUGGCGUAAUGGAAACAUUUAAUCCAUUCAUACGUCUUUCAAGAGAGGAUACUUUCGAUCGUUCUAAACUGGAUGUUGAUUCUUUUGAUCUUCUCGAACCCUUCUGAGUACCAACUCUUAUUGAAAAUGGAGAACCUCUGACGUCUGAUCCAUUAAAGUAAACAUAAACUCUGUAUUUCCCAGCAUCAGAGGGAACAAAUGAGACAUGGUACUGCAUAUGUCCAAUAUCUUCCAUUCUAUAAGAAAUAGAUUGCUUAUCAUGUACUAUAUCUAUGAUUACAUCGCCGAGACCUCCUGUUCCUCUUGCAUCAACAAUAAAGGAAAAUGGUUGACCUGGCAUAGCACCAUCUGUAUCGAGUAACUAUAAAAGAUAAUAACAAGAUCGAACACAAAACAAGUGAAUGGACCACCUUGUAUAUGAUUUCCAUUAUGCGUUAUCGCUAUACUCCAUUCACCUGUUUCAUCUGGUUGAAAUGUUGCUGUAUGUACACCAUCAUUCUUUUUAACUGGACAUGCCAAUGGUCUUCCUGUCGGUGACCAUGCAGUAACAUCGAUCCCAUCGUGACUAGUUCCUGAAAUAAAUAUUUAAAAAUUCGUUAUUAGAAAAUAUAAACCUUCAUUUUUUCUUUGAUAAACUCACCAUAACUAUUGACUAGAACCUCGACGAUAGAUCCAAUUGCACAAGGAUCCAUACCGGGCGAUUUGAUUUUGGUCAAGGCAGGUAAAACUCUGAAGUAAUAGGGACAUCCAUUGAUUAAUUCUCCGUCAUUAUAUACCAUUAACUAUAAAAAUAAAUUUGUUUAAAAUACACUGUCAAUAAUUCGAAUUUAUAUAAAUGUUCAAAUAAAAUUCAUGUUAUACAAACCUUAUGCAUUCCAACUUCAGUAGGUACAAAAGUUCCUUUUCCAUGUACGCCAUUCCAAGUUAAUCUACAUUCGACUCGUCCACUCGGACUUAUAACUUCACCUCUAACUUCUCGUGUGUUAACUUCUUUGGUAAGCAUCUCCAGUUUGAAAUGUGCCUGUGAAUAUGGUUCAAUAAUUUUAAACUUUAAACAAUAUAGAAAGACUUCCAUUG